AUUGAACGCUGGCGGCAGGCCUAACACAUGCAAGUCGAACGGUAACAGGAAACAGCUUGCUGUUUCGCUGACGAGUGGCGGACGGGUGAGUAAUGUCUGGGAAACUGCCUGAUGGAGGGGGAUAACUACUGGAAACGGUAGCUAAUACCGCAUAACGUCGCAAGACCAAAGAGGGGGACCUUCGGGCCUCUUGCCAUCGGAUGUGCCCAGAUGGGAUUAGCUAGUAGGUGGGGUAACGGCUCACCUAGGCGACGAUCCCUAGCUGGUCUGAGAGGAUGACCAGCCACACUGGAACUGAGACACGGUCCAGACUCCUACGGGAGGCAGCAGUGGGGAAUAUUGCACAAUGGGCGCAAGCCUGAUGCAGCCAUGCCGCGUGUAUGAAGAAGGCCUUCGGGUUGUAAAGUACUUUCAGCGGGGAUGAAGGGAGUAAAGUUAAUACCUUUGCUCAUUGACGUUACCCGCAGAAGAAGCACCGGCCAACUCCGUG
rnacentral:rRNA from 1 species